AUCAGAUUUCUCAAUAAGGAAACCCGAAAAUUUCCAGAUUUUUCUCCUCCUCGCUGCCUUGGCUUCACGGCGUCGCCACGACUUCAUCCGGCCACCUAUGGCCAUGAAAUUGAUAUCAAUCUCUUCGCCUUGAAACCAGCUUUCCAUUCAUAUAUGUCUUGCAUCCUAUCAUUCACCAUAGACAACGAAUCGAAGCAAAGAAGGUCAGACCAUUUUUCAUGCAUUUCUUCAAAUUCCAGCCAACUCCGGCAAAGGUAGGAGGGGAGACCAACUGGGCUUUGUUCGCCUUGCCAUGCUCUAUAAACUCACCAAGUUUCACAUCUCGAUUCAACCCGAGGAAGACGAAUUUCAGAUUUGAGCGAUUUUGGGCGAUUUCGGCCUCUUUCUUCUUGAGGUGAUUGGCGGAUUGAUUUGGCGGACGAUUCGUAAAAUCGUUGUUGAGCUGUUUAGAAGACGCAGCGGGAUUAUCGAGCGGGUAAUCCUACAGGACAGGAGAACCAGGACGGUGAUCGUGCGGUUAGAGCAAUUGUUAGAGUUUUACA